rnacentral:rRNA from 1 species
ACGCUCGACACCUACGGGAGGCAGCAGUGGGGAAUAUUGCACAAUGGGGGAAACCCGUGAUGCAGCGACGCCGCGUGAGUGAAGAAGUAUUUCGGUAUGUAAAGCUCUAUCAGCAGGGAAGAAAAUGACGGUACCUGACUAAGAAGCCCCGGCUAACUACGUGCUAGCAGCCGCGGUAAUCUGAGCGGCUGGCAAGGC